AGGAAUCUGCCUGGUAGUGGGGGACAACGUUUCGAAAGGAACGCUAAUACCGCAUACGUCCUACGGGAGAAAGCAGGGGACCUUCGGGCCUUGCGCUAUCAGAUGAGCCUAGGUCGGAUUAGCUAGUUGGUGAGGUAAUGGCUCACCAAGGCGACGAUCCGUAACUGGUCUGAGAGGAUGAUCAGUCACACUGGAACUGAGACACGGUCCAGACUCCUACGGGAGGCAGCAGUGGGGAAUAUUGGACAAUGGGCGAAAGCCUGAUCCAGCCAUGCCGCGUGUGUGAAGAAGGUCUUCGGAUUGUAAAGCACUUUAAGUUGGGAGGAAGGGCAGUAAGCGAAUACCUUGCUGUUUUGACGUUACCGACAGAAUAAGCACCGGCUAACUCUGUGCCAGCAGCCGCGGUAAUACAGAGGGUGCAAGCGUUAAUCGGAAUUACUGGGCGUAAAGCGCGCGUAGGUGGUUUGUUAAGUUGGAUGUGAAAGCCCCGGGCUCAACCUGGGAACUGCAUCCAAAACUGGCAAGCUAGAGUACAGUAGAGGGUGGUGGAAUUUCCUGU
rnacentral:rRNA from 1 species